GCCAAAAACCUAGCUCCAACUUACCAUAUGAACCCUACCCCCUCUUAACCCAAACUAAAACAUUCACAUAUUUUAGUAAAGGAGAUUGAAAAACUUUUGAAGCAAUAAACUUAGUACCGCAAGGGAAAGAUGAAAUACUAAUGAAAACCCCAAAGCAAAAAAAAGUAGAGCUUAACCCUCGUACCUUUUGCAUCAUGGUCCAACAAGUCUAACCAAGCAAAAAGAAUUACAGUUUGACCCCCCGAAACUAAGCGAGCUACUUCAGGGCAGCCUAAUGAGCCAACCCGUCUCUGUUGCAAAAGAGUGGGAAGACCCCUAAGUAGAGGCGACAUACCUAACGAGCUUAGUGAUAGCUGGUUACUCAAGAAAAGAAUUUUAGUCCAACCUAAAGCCUUGUUCUUACCAUUAAAACCUCCCAUGACUUUAGAGCAAAUCAAAUAAGGUACAGCCUAUUUGAAACAGGAUACAACCUCGUAUGAUGGGUAAAACUUUCACUUCACACCCAAGUGGGCCUAAAAGCAGCCAUCUUUUUAAAAGCGUCACAGCUUAGCCUUUCCCUAACCACCCAAUACCUUGAUUUAACCUAAACCCUCCCAUAAUAUUGAGUAAUUCUAUAUCCAUAUAGAAAAUUUUAUGUUGGAACUAGUAACAAGAAGAAAGGCCUUCUCUUAAGUGCAAGUAUAAGUCAGAAAGGACAAACCACUGACGAUUAACGCCUAUGAACACACAUUAGUAACUUCUCAAGAAAAACCUAAUCAAAAUUCACGUUAACCUGACACAAGAGCACUUCAAGAAAGAUUUAAAGAAAAAGAAGGAACUCGGCAAAUAUUAACCCCGCCUGUUUACCAAAAACAUCGCCUCUUGAUCAAAAAUAAGAGGUCCAGCCUGCCCAGUGACUAAUGUUCAACGGCCGCGGUAUCCUAACCGUGCGAAGGUAGCGUAAUCACUUGUUCUUUAAAUGAGGACUAGUAUGAAUGGCAUCACGAGGGUUAUACUGUCUCCUUUUUCCAAUCAGUGAAUCUAAUCCCCCCGUGAAGAAACAGGGAUACAACUAUAAGACGAGAAGACCCUAUGGAGCUUUAAAUACCUCUUCAAACGUUGGACCUCCCCCAUCAAGUUUAAACUCACUUACUUUAACCUCGAACGCUAUGAAGACGACUUUUAGGUUGGGGUGACCACGGAGAACAAUACAACCUCCAUGCUGAAUCAGACUUUCUAAGCCUGAGUUAAGAGCCACUGCUCGACACACUAAAAAAUUAACAUCUAUUGACCCAAUAACCACUUGAUCAACGAACCAAGUUACCCUAGGGAUAACAGCGCAAUCCAUUUCAAGAGUCCAUAUCGACAAAUGGGUUUACGACCUCGAUGUUGGAUCAGGGUAUCCCAGUGGUGCAGCCGUUACUAAUGGUUCGUUUGUUCAACGAUUAAAACCCU
rnacentral:rRNA from 1 species